rnacentral:rRNA from 1 species
GGGUCCGGACACACUGAGGAUUGACAGGCAAAAGAUACAAGUUUUCUUUGUGAGAGCUUGCAUUGUAAAAUAUGCGAGUCCUUUCAUGAUUAUGUGAUAGGUGGUGCAUGGCCGUUCUUAGUUCGUGGAGUGAUCUGUCUGCUUAAUUGCGUUUCACAACGAUUUAAAAUGCUAUGUUUUCUGUGUUUGCUGUUCGGUUUUGCUCUUACGGGAGUUUUAACUUUGAACGCACACGGCGUAGCUUAAAACAAUCGGAAAGCAACGAACGUGACCGCAACCUCUUGUUGCCUUUAUUUUUAAAAGCGUGGAAAAUUUUAUUUUCCUACGCUUGAAAAAGGCUUUAAAACUAGAGGGACCGCUGUUCUAUUCUCUUAAACCAGAGGAAGAUUGCGGCAAUAACAGGUCUGUGAUGCCCUCAGAUGUUCCGGGCUGCACACGUGCUACAAUGAUUGUUGCAGUGAGCAUCUAUUUUCAAACGCUACCGUUGCGGAUUUUGUGAGAAGGGGGCUUGUUUUAAAGCUUUCGGGUGGAGAAGCAGGUUCUUUUUUUUCACAAUUUAUUCCGCGUUACGUGUCAGCUAAACCUGCUUCGAAAGCAAGUAGGU